GCCCGGAUGGCGGAACUGGCAGACGCGCACGUUUGAGGGGCGUGUGGGGAAACCCGUGGGGGUUCGAAUCCCCCUCCGGGCACCA
rnacentral:tRNA from 4 species